AUUGAACGCUGGCGGCAUGCCUUACACAUGCAAGUCGAACGGUAACAGGUCUUCGGAUGCUGACGAGUGGCGAACGGGUGAGUAAUACAUCGGAACGUGCCCGAUCGUGGGGGAUAACGGAGCGAAAGCUUUGCUAAUACCGCAUACGAUCUACGGAUGAAAGCAGGGGACCGCAAGGCCUUGCGCGGACGGAGCGGCCGGUGGCAGGUUAGGUAGUUGGUGGGAUAAGAGCUUACCAAGCCGACGAUCUGUAGCUGGUCUGAGAGGACGACCAGCCACACUAGGACUGAGACACGGCCCAGACUCCUACGGGAGGCAGCAGUGGGGAAUUUUGGACAAUGGGCGAAAGCCUGAUCCAGCCAUGCCGCGUGCAGGAUGAAGGCCUUCGGGUUGUAAACUGCUUUUGUACGGAACGAAAAGCCUCUUUCUAAUAAAGAGAGGUCAUGACGGUACCGUAAGAAUAAGCACCGGCUAACUACGUGCCAGCAGCCGCGGUAACAC
rnacentral:rRNA from 1 species